UACGGAGGGUGCAAGCGUUAUCCGGAUUUACUGGGUUUAAAGGGUGCGUAGGCGGGCCUUUAAGUCAGUGGUGAAAGCUCCGAGCUUAACUCGGAAACUGCCAUUGAUACUAUUGGUCUUGAAUUCGGUCGAGGUUGGCGGAAUGUGUCGUGUAGCGGUGAAAUGCUUAGAUAUGACACAGAACACCGAUUGCGAAGGCAGCUAGCUAGACCGACAUUGACGCUGAGGCACGAAAGCGUGGGGAUCAAACAGG
rnacentral:rRNA from 2 species